rnacentral:rRNA from 1 species
UGCAAGUCGAGCGGUAACAGAAAGAAAGCUUGCUUUCUUUGCUGACGAGCGGCGGACGGGUGAGUAAUGCCUGGGAAUAUGCCUUGAUGUGGGGGAUAACCAUUGGAAACGAUGGCUAAUACCGCAUAAUGCCUACGGGCCAAAGAGGGGGAUCUUCGGACCUCUCGCGUCAAGAUUAGCCCAGGUGGGAUUAGCUAGUUGGUGAGGUAAUGGCUCACCAAGGCGACGAUCCCUAGCUGGUCUGAGAGGAUGAUCAGCCACACUGGAACUGAGACACGGUCCAGACUCCUACGGGAGGCAGCAGUGGGGAAUAUUGCACAAUGGGCGCAAGCCUGAUGCAGCCAUGCCGCGUGUGUGAAGAAGGCCUUCGGGUUGUAAAGCACUUUCAGUCGUGAGGAAGGUAGUUGCGUUAAUAGCGUAAUUAUUUGACGUUAGCGACAGAAGAAGCACCGGCUAACUCCGUGCCAGCAGCCGCGGUAAUACGGAGGGUGCGAGCGUUAAUCGGAAUUACUGGGCGUAAAGCGCAUGCAGGUGGUUUGUUAAGUCAGAUGUGAAAGCCCGGGGCUCAACCUCGGAAUUGCAUUUGAAACUGGCAGACUAGAGUACUGUAGAGGGGGGUAGAAUUUCAGGUGUAGCGGUGAAAUGCGUAGAGAUCUGAAGGAAUACCGGUGGCGAAGGCGGCCCCCUGGACAGAUACUGACACUCAGAUGCGAAAGCGUGGGGAGCAAACAGGAUUAGAUACCCUGGUAGUCCACGCCGUAAACGAUGUCUACUUGGAGGUUGUGGCCUUGAGCCGUGGCUUUCGGAGCUAACGCGUUAAGUAGACCGCCUGGGGAGUACGGUCGCAAGAUUAAAACUCAAAUGAAUUGACGGGGGCCCGCACAAGCGGUGGAGCAUGUGGUUUAAUUCGAUGCAACGCGAAGAACCUUACCUACUCUUGACAUCCAGAGAAGCCAGCGGAGACGCAGGUGUGCCUUCGGGAACUCUGAGACAGGUGCUGCAUGGCUGUCGUCAGCUCGUGUUGUGAAAUGUUGGGUUAAGUCCCGCAACGAGCGCAACCCUUAUCCUUGUUUGCCAGCGAGUAAUGUCGGGAACUCCAGGGAGACUGCCGGUGAUAAACCGGAGGAAGGUGGGGACGACGUCAAGUCAUCAUGGCCCUUACGAGUAGGGCUACACACGUGCUACAAUGGCGCAUACAGAGGGCUGCCAACCAGCGAUGGUGAGCGAAUCCCAAAAAGUGCGUCGUAGUCCGGAUUGGAGUCUGCAACUCGACUCCAUGAAGUCGGAAUCGCUAGUAAUCGUGGAUCAGAAUGCCACGGUGAAUACGUUCCCGGGCCUUGUACACACCGCCCGUCACACCAUGGGAGUGGGCUGCAAAAGAAGUGGGUAGUUUAACCUUUCGAGGAGGACGCUCACCACUUU